rnacentral:rRNA from 1 species
GAUGAACGCUGGCGGCGUGCCUAAUACAUGCAAGUCGAGCGAACAGGUCAUGCGCUUGCUGCUCUGUCGUUAGCGGCAGACGUGUGAGAAACACGAGGAUACUCUCCCUAUAAGUCUGAGAAAACUUGGGGAAACCGGAGCUAAUCCCGGAUAAUAUCCUGAAGCGUAUGGGUCGUUGGAGAAAGACGGUUUUGUGGUCAGUUAUGGAUGGAUCUGCGCCUCAUGAGCUAGUAGGUAGGUAAGCGGCUUACGAAGGCAACGACGGGUAGCCGGCCUGAGAGGGUGACCGGCCACAUUGGGACUGAGAUACGGCCCAGACUCCUACGGGAGGCAGCAGUGGGGAAUAUUGCACAAUGGGCGGAAGCCUGAUGCAGCAACGCCGCGUGCGGGAUGACGGCUUUCGGGUUGUAAACCGCUUUCGCCUGUGACGAAGAGUGAGUGACGGUAAUGGGUAAAGAAGCACCGGCUAACUACGUG